UCUCUCUCUCUCUCAGGGCUGUGUAAAACAGACCCCCUUCUGUUCCGCUAAGAGGCCGCAGCUGCUCAGGUGCCUGAGGUAAUGAGGGGGUUGACUGAUCCCCAGGUCGCUCGGCACACACAAUCGGAGUGGCCCGGGAAAGCAAGCGGAGGAUCAAAGCGGCUGAACUGGGAUCAGGCAGGUGAAGGGACACCUGAGCCUGGGUCCCUGGGCUUCCCGGCUCCGGCCAGAGGGGCCUGCCCGCGUUUUGUUUUCAUCUGAGGCGAGCUACCUGUAAAUGGGCCACUCUGAGCGACCGCUUAAGUGCUGACUCCGCCGAAAAGCAGCCCGCCCUCCAGCUCUGCAGGACCAGGGUCCCUCACAGCGCAGCCAGAGUUGUCACCGGAAUCAGGAAACUUGGGCGUAUCACUCCUGUCCUGGCUGCGCUCCACUGGCUUCCCGUCAGCUUCGCGAUCGACUUUAAGAUACGGUUUUUAACGCGUUGCAUGGUGAUGGCCCCUCCUACCUUUCUGAACUCCUGUCUCCCUUGGAAUCCCACCGCUCACUGAGGUCCAACAGUCGUAGCCUUUUAGCAGUGCCCAGAACUCGGCUCCGUACUGUGGGUGAUCGAGCUUUUUGCUCCAUGGCACCACGCCUUUGGAACCGUCUGCCCGAUCACCUACGUCUGGCACAGUCAGUCUCGGCAUUCAAAGCCGGGCUUAAAACUCAUUUUUAUCAGUGUGCCUAUGCCUAUUUUUUGCACUUUGUUUUAUUGUUGCCUUCUGUGAAGCACUUUGAGAUCAUCUCUGUAUGAUGAAAAAGUGCUAUAUAAAUAAAAUCUAUUAUUAUUUUUAUUAUUAUCCGAUCACAGCGUUUGUUUUCAUCUUUUUUUCUGGAAGACUGUCAAGAAGAAAAAAAAGGCUUGUCAGGCUUUUAUCGGUCACAUAACUCCAGAAUGCCCCGCCCACAUUCCUUUCCUCUGGGAGAAAAACACCACAGCGCUGCAGCAAGACUGAAAAAAAUAUCCCUCAGGAAUUCGUCAGUAAAUCAGUCACUUGAAUUUCGGUUCAUUGCCUGAGUUGACUGACUUGAGAGAGAGAGCUGAUGCGCAGCUCUGCUCUGGAGACAGUGCUGUUCUAACAGGCUGUCUGUAUGAAGUCGCGUGUAUAAAUGCAGCCAUUAGCUGAUGCUAUAGCACUUUAUCUGCGUAACAUGCCAGUCAUGACAGUAUAUUGUAAAUGGAUGCCAAAUGUUAUGGCUUGAAGUGUUACCGUGUAUCUACUCCUAUACGCCUAUUUUAUCAGAGGUGGAAAAUGUAGGUUCAGAAAUGAUAAGUCCACCCCAAUAUUUUGUUCCAAUCACCAGGGUUUGCUAAUUAGUGCAAUUCUUCUGCCAGGAAGUAGAGCUAAUUAGUGAAAUCAGCUGGCUGAGUUAAUGGGUGGAAGAAACACACGGCAGGACUUUUACUUUCUGACCCCUGGACUUUUUCCCCCCUGCUUAUUUUCUUCGCAAAAUGCUUUUUGUAUUUAUUGUAUUUCGCAAAAUGAGAGCCAGCUUUGUGCCAUCCUGCAGGCAUGUCAACCACAGACAGCCCUGGCAUCCAUCCAUCCACUGGCACAGAGCCUUAACAGGAUAAGCCACCCAGCACACCGCUCGCAUAAGGAUAUGAUUCCACCCCGUCUUAUAUUUAUUUAUUUCGGGUUACUUCCUCCUUCCUUCACUCCUUCCUCUUCGCUGCUGUAUGAGGAACCCGUCACUCUUGGAGGAACUUCCAGAACAUUCUGCUGCUUUCGGGGACUUUCUCCUUCCUCCAAUCAAGGGACGGACGGACUGACCGCCGUCACUGGUGAAGAAAAGGGCAUUGCCGUGAAUCUUUGAAAUGACGAGACCAACUCCAUUUCUGAUUUAUUAGUUCUGGACUAGCAUCAAGCCAACGAUAUUUAUUUCAGGCACUGUAAAUACAAUGGAUGAGAAGCAGUUAACCAGGACAUAAUUUUAGAUCAAUACUUACUGCAAAUUAUAAUACAUAAUUGUCUCUCAUGGUAACCUUAUGUUAAAAAAAAACAACCAGAAAUAGAUCUCCCGUUUGUCUUUUAGACAGUACAUACACCUCAUUUAUGAUUAUCUGCGUACAUAUUUCAUGUGCGGUAAAUAUGCUAUAUUGAAUUGCUGUUGAGUGUGUCCAGCUCAACCCUGUAGCCAUUGUCAAAAAUGCGGCAAUUGUAAAAAAAAAAAUGUUAUAAAAAAUGUAGGAUUUUUUUUUUUUUUUUUUUUAAAGAGAAAAGUACCCAUGAUGCCAUGAAAAGUACCAAAGAGGUAAAAACCAACAGGUAAUUCCCAGUGGUCAGUAAUAAUUCUACCGUUGGAAUUUACCAGCUUUGCCAGGCUGGGGAUGAUUUGGCAAAAACAAAAACAAAAACAAUAAUUACCUGGCAUAACAUUUAUGCUGUAAAUGUUUAACAAGCCUAACAUGCCUUUUUGAUCCAGCGAAAGUUCCAAAGUCUAACCACGCGGCAAACUCAAUGCGCCUCCUCCUUUAUUACAGAGAAAUAAAUGCAGGUGCAACUGUG